CCAACAGAAAGAAAGGAGAUGCCUGUAAAAAGGAGGUGGCCCAGCAGCACCACCUGUAACGGAGGCAGAGGAGCUGCUCCUAAGCCAGAAUUUGGGAAGGCCAGUGGCUGAGGGAAUCCCUGGAGGGAGCUCAUCCUCUGAGACCACAUCCCAAGACACAAGCAAGAGGAAAAGGUGCAACAGAAAAUUGGACCUUCCAAGCGUACUUGUGGAGAUGCAGGCUGAGGAGGAGCGGAACCGGCACCCAGCAUGAUGAGAACAUCUGGUUGCUCCUCAGCGAGGCAAGAGAGAAUGAAGCGGCCUUGCAGCGGGAGGAGAUGGUCCAGAAUGCUGCCUUCAACCAGUCAUUCCUGGGUGUACUGGGGCAGCUGGGGCAGGCAGUGCUGGGUGUACUGGGGCAGCUGGUGCAGGCAGUGCUGGGUGUACUGGGGCAGCUGGGGCAGGCAGUGGGCAGCCAGCGAGUCCACCUCCCAGAGACUUGAGAUUUAGUUGUAUAUAGUUUUACUUUUAGCCCUCCACUGUAGGAGAGGCCCACCACAGUUUGUACUUUGCACAU
ensembl:lncRNA